CACACGAGUUUGAUCCUGGCUCAGAUUGAACGCUGGCGGCAUGCUUUACACAUGCAAGUCGAACGGUAACAGGUCUUUCGGGAUGCUGACGAGUGGCGAACGGGUGAGUAAUGUAUCGGAACGUGCCCAGUAGUGGGGGAUAACUACUCGAAAGAGUGGCUAAUACCGCAUGAGAUCUCUGGAUGAAAGCGGGGGACCGUAAGGCCUCGCGCUACUGGAGCGGCCGAUAUCAGAUUAGGUUGUUGGUGAGGUAAAGGCUCACCAAGCCGACGAUCUGUAGCUGGUCUGAGAGGACGACCAGCCACACUGGGACUGAGACACGGCCCAGACUCCUACGGGAGGCAGCAGUGGGGAAUGUUGGACAAUGGGCGAAAGCCUGAUCCAGCAAUGCCGCGUGAGUGAUGAAGGCCUUAGGGUUGUAAAGCUCUUUUACCAGGGAUGAUAAUGACAGUACCUGGAGAAUAAGCUCCGGCUAACUCCGUG
rnacentral:rRNA from 1 species